CGCUGGCGGCGUGCUUAACACAUGCAAGUGGAGCGACGAACCGGGGCUUGCCCCGGGGCAGAGCCGCGAACGGGUGAGUAACACGUGGGUAACCUGCCUCAAUGAUUGGGACAACCCGGGGAAACUCGGGCUAAUACAAAAUGUGUUCACUCCUUCUAAGGGGAGUGAGGAAGGAAGCUUCGGCCUCCGCAUUGAGAUGGGCCCGCGGCCCAUUAGCUUGUUGGUGAGGUAACGGCUCACCAAGGCUUCGAUGGGUAGCUGGUCUGAGAGGACGAUCAGCCACACUGGGACUGAGACACGGCCCAGACUCCUACGGGAGGCAGCAGUGGGGAAUCUUGCACAAUGCGCGAAAGCGUGAUGCAGCAACGCCGCGUGGGGGAAGACGGCCUUCGGGUUGUAAACCCCUUUCAGUUGGGACGAAGCUUCGUCGGUGAAUAGCCGGUUGGAGUGACGGUACCUUCAGAAGAAGCCCCGGCUAACUACGUG
rnacentral:rRNA from 1 species